GUAUGAAAGGUGAAGACUACUUAAGAAUCGCACGCUGACAUUUAAGCCACGACACAGUACACUUUGGAGUGGCGACCCUUUUCCUUAUGAGAACCUACGGUCUUUUAUCGGCCACUACCGAGACGCCUAUCGAUCGAUAGCGCGCGAAUAUGCAAUACGAAAAAA